rnacentral:lncRNA from 1 species
UCUAGGAAGAUGUUUUAGCUGUCCUCACUAUUUCUGUAAAAUAGUGUAUGAAUAAUUAAUGAGGACUUAUUUGGGUGUGUAUAUUGUCUAGAAGACAAUAUUUGUAUUCAAACUCACAGUUGUAUUGUCGUAUUCUACACGACAUCUGUAUUGUCAAAGUUGUAAUUUACUUUCUAUACCAUGUAUUUUGGCGACUCAGAAUGGGUGUUGUAUACCUAUUUUGGGGGCGUCACACAUGAUCCAAGUGGGUAAUUUUGUAUUAUUAUUUUUUUUGAGACUUUUUUUCCUUAGUAAUAUAAGCCAAAAUACUGAGUACCACAUCGAUAUGAGAGGGACUUGUAAAUCUAUUUAGCACCUCCCUAAGUAAUCAUAAAGUUGGCUAUGGCAAAGCGUGUUUGACACUCGCUUCAAACUAGCGUGGAACAAGAACAGCAUCAAUGAGCAUAAUUGUUGAGAGAAUAGCAUGUGAG